GUCGUGUCUGGGGAAGAGACGCAGAAAUGCAAAAUUACAGUUCAGCUUGAAGUUGUCUGUAAGCAUGCUGGGAACAUCCCUGCAAGCCAGGCACAAAUCAGUAACCAUGCCGACCCUGAGCCGAUGGUUCCUCACCUGGUCUUCAGAGGGAUGGAGAAGGGCAGACUUUGCAGGACGGCCUGUUUAAACAGAGGCUGGCUGCUCUGGAUCAUCAGGUGAAGACUCACUGACUGAGCACCUGCACUCUCCCCAAAAAGUGUCACCUGACAAAAACACAACACAGAGGCUUGGCAUUAAAAGCAACCAUCAGUCAUCCAUCACAGGAUCUCCUCCAAACACUGGAAUGUUCUGUUGGACCCAAAGAAGAGCCGCCUGCUGAUCCAAGAUCCCAUAAUUCCCUGCAGCUGAGGAGUGAAGGUCCUUACCCGACACAAGGAACCCAAAAGCACCUUAAAUCAUGCAGAAAUUCACAUGAUCAGACAUAAUUGACUCCAGCAAGACAUUCAUUUUCCAAAUUACCAUCCACAUAUCUCUGCUCCUGUUUUCAGUCUGCAGGAAAGCAGAGUAAUUACCAACAGGCUCGGUCAUUUAAGAUAAUGACACGGACGCAUUAGCCAGCCACAUACUGUCUCACACAGACCGGCAGACACACACAUGCACUCCACAAUAAACACACCACCAUUAUUUUAACUAAUGUCUACCAUGAGAUGCCUGCUUGUUGCCUUUACCAACUCUAGUGCUAAAGGUCUUCCUCCCUUUAUCCCUGCACAUACAGUACAAUUUAGAAAAAGGCUAUUAAAGCUACAGUUGGUCACUUUCAUACAAAUAACAUUUUGUCAUAUUUGCACAAACUGUCAGUAUAUCCUGACAGUACUACGUGAAUCAGAUGAUCUGUGAAAAAAAAAAUCCUGUUCCUCUGCCUUUUCCUGGUGCUCCUAAUGGCGAAAAGAAAACAACCAAUCAGAGCCGAGGAGCCUGUAACGCAGUGUCAACGACUGCUCCUAAACUGUCAAACUAGGCAGCGCUGAUUAAAUAUGAAUCAAGACUAUG